GCCCAGCUAGCUCAGUCGGUAGAACAUGAGACUCUUAAUCUCAGGAUUGUGGGUUCAAGCCCAAUGUUGGGCU